rnacentral:rRNA from 1 species
AUGCCUUUCAAGCACAUGUGCGGCCUGCGACAGGGAGACCCCCUAUCCCCAAUGCUAUUCAUUCUUGUCAUGGAGCCACUUCGAAAGCUGUUAGAUCUUGCAACAGAGAGGGGGGUUUUAUCCCAGCUUCGGACCAAGACUGCCAGACUACGUACUAGCAUGUAUGCUGAUGACGUGGCUCUGUUUAUUAACCCUGUUAAGGAGGAGGUGCAGGCGAUCAGAGCAAUUUUGGACAGAUUUGGGGAGGCCUCUGGACUAAGGAUCAACGCCCUGAAAUGUGUUGCUUACCCGGUUAGGUGCGAGGGUUUUGACUUCCAGGAUAUCAUUCAGGACUUUGGUGGCACGACGGGAUCUCUUCCGUGUCGCUACCUUGGUCUCCCGCUUAGCUUCCGCAAGCUCAGGAGAAUUGAGGUCCUCCCACUCAUUGAGGGCAUGGCUGGCAGGCUUAAGGGAUGGAAAGGCAAAUUGAUGGCAAAACCUGGCAGGCUCACGCUAAUAAAUUAUGUGCUUACGUCCAUGGCCACUUAUUUCCUUACUAGUUUUGUGAUUGACAAAUGGGCAGCAAAGAGAAUGGAGAAGAUUAUGCGCAACUUCCUUUGGAAUGGGGAUGACGAGUGUAGCGGAGCCAAAUGUUUAGUAAACUGGAAGAGGGUGUGCUCCCCUAAGGAUCUGGGUGGCCUCGGAAUCAAAGAUAUUGUCUGUUUUGGUAGGGCACUAUGGCUGCGAUGGGCUUGGCUUGAAUGGAGCCCCACCCCUAGGCCUUGGCUGGGCACUCCCAUCCCUUGUGACUGCACUGAUAGGUUGUUAUUCUCGGCUUGCACUGACAUCUCU